CCUACGGGUGGCAGCAGUAGGGAAUCUUCCACAAUGGACGAAAGUCUGAUGGAGCAACGCCGCGUGAGGGAAGAAGGGUUUCGGCUCGGAAAGCUCUGUUGGUAGUGGAGUAAGGUGCAUGUAGUCACUGGCCUUUAUUUGACGGUAAUUCCUUAGAACGUCACAGCUAACUACGUGCCAGCAGCCGAGGUAAUACGUAGGGGGCGAGCGUUGUCCGGAUUUAUUGGGCGUAAAGCGAGUGCAGGCGGUUGAAUAAGUCUGAUGUGAAAGCCUUCGGCUCAACCGGAGAAUUGCAUCAGAAACUGUUGAACUUGAGUGCAGAAGAGGAGAGUGGAACUCCAUGGGUAGCGGUGGAAUGCGUAGAUAUAUGGAAGAACACCAGUGGCGAAGGCGGCUCUCUGGUCUGCAACUGACGCUGAGGCUCGAAAGCAUGGGUAGCGAACAGGAGUAGAUACCCUAGUAGUC
rnacentral:rRNA from 1 species